GAUGAACGCUAGCGGGAGGUCUAACACAUGCAAGCCGAGCGGUAGAGAUUCUUCGGAAUCUUGAGAGCGGCGUACGGGUGCGGAACACGUGUGCAACCUGCCUAUAUCAGGGGGAUAGCCUUUCGAAAGGAAGAUUAAUACCCCAUAAUAUAUUGAAUGGCAUCAUUUGAUAUUGAAAACUCCGGUGGAUAGAGAUGGGCACGCGCAAGAUUAGAUAGUUGGUGAGGUAACGGCUCACCAAGUCUACGAUCUUUAGGGGGCCUGAGAGGGUGAUCCCCCACACUGGUACUGAGACACGGACCAGACUCCUACGGGAGGCAGCAGUGAGGAAUAUUGGACAAUGGGUGCGAGCCUGAUCCAGCCAUCCCGCGUGAAGGACGACGGCCCUAUGGGUUGUAAACUUCUUUUGUAUAGGGAUAAACCUAGAUACGUGUAUCUAGCUGAAGGUACUAUACGAAUAAGCACCGGCUAACUCCGUGCCAGCAGCCGCCGUAA
rnacentral:rRNA from 1 species